rnacentral:rRNA from 1 species
UACGUAGGUGGCAAGCGUUGUCCGGAUUUACUGGGCGUAAAGAGCGCGCAGGCGGUCGUUCAAGUCGCGUGUGAAAGCCCCCGGCUCAACUGGGGAGGGUCACGCGAUACUGAUCGACUCGAAGGCAGGAGAGGGUAGUGGAAUUCCCGGUGUAGUGGUGAAAUGCGUAGAGACCGGGAAGAACACCAGUGGCGAAGGCGGCUACCUGGACAGGUACUGACGCUGAAGCGCGAAAGCUAGGGGAGCAAACAGG